GAUGAUCGCUGGCGGCGUGCCUCAUACAUGCAAGUCGAGCGAACAGACGAGGAGCUUGCUCUUAUGACAUUAGCGGCGGACGGGUGAGUAUAAUGUGGAUAACCUACCUAUAAAAAUGGGAUAACUUCGGGAAACCGGGGCUAAUACCGGCUAAUAUAUUGAACCGCAUGGUUCAAUAGUGAAAGACGAUCUUGAUGUCACUUAUAGAUGGAUCCGCGCCGCAUUAGCCAGUUGGUAAGGUAACGGCUUACCAAGGCAACGAUGCGUAGCCGACCUGAGAGGGUGCUCGGCCACACUGUAACUGAGACACGGUCCUUACACCUACUGGAGGCAGCAGUAGCGAAGCUACCGCAGAGGGCGAAAGCUUGUCUGUUCAGCGCCGCGGGAAUGAGGAUGGUUCUCUGGUCGUAAAACUCGGUAGUUGGGGAAGAACAAAUGUAGAAGUGACGUUGCACGGCUUGACGGUACCGAAUCAGAAGGCCACUGCUAACGGCAU
rnacentral:rRNA from 1 species